UACGGAGGGAGCUAGCGUUGUUCGGAAAUACUGGGCGUAAAGCGCACGUAGGCGGCGCAGCAAGUCAGGGGUGAAAUCCCGGGGCUCAACCCCGGAACUGCCCUUGAAACUGCAGUGCUAGAAUCUUGGAGAGGCGAGUGGAAUUCCGAGUGUAGAGGUGAAAUUCGUAGAUAUUCGGAGGAACACCAGAAGCGAGGCGGCCAACUGGCCCGAUACUGACGCUGAGGCGCGAAAGCGUGGGGAGCAAACAGG
rnacentral:rRNA from 1 species